rnacentral:rRNA from 1 species
GGGUUGUGAGGUUAAGCGACUAAGCGUACACGGUGGAUGCCCUGGCAGUCAGAGGCGAUGAAGGGCGUGCUAAUCUGCGAUAAGCGCCGGUAAGGUGAUAUGAACCGUUAUAACCGGCGAUACCCGAAUGGGGAAACCCAGUGUGAUUCGUCACACUAUCAUUAACUGAAUCCAUAGGUUAAUGAGGCGAACCGGGGGAACUGAAACAUCUAAGUACCCCGAGGAAAAGAAAUCAACCGAGAUUCCCCCAGUAGCGGCGAGCGAACGGGGAGGAGCCCAGAGCCUGAAUCAGCAUGUGUGUUAGUGGAAGCGUCUGGAAAGGCGCGCGAUACAGGGUGACAGCCCCGUACACAAAAGCGCAUGUGCUGUGAGCUCGAUGAGUAGGGCGGGACACGUGGUAUCCUGUCUGAAUAUGGGGGGACCAUCCUCCAAGGCUAAAUACUCCUGACUGACCGAUAGUGAACCAGUACCGUGAGGGAAAGGCGAAAAGAACCCCGGCGAGGGGAGUGAAAAAGAACCUGAAACCGUGUACGUACAAGCAGUGGGAGCCCCACCACCAAAGCGUUUCGCUUUGUGUGGUGCACAAAGAAGCGUAACGACAGCACUGAAUGACGGUUAACGGAGCGCAAGCGACGUUCAACAUACAAAGUCAAGCAGUGGAGCGCUUUGGGGUGGGGUGACUGCGUACCUUUUGUAUAAUGGGUCAGCGACUUAUAUUCUGUAGCAAGGUUAACCGAAUAGGGGAGCCGGAGGGAAACCGAGUCUUAAUUGGGCGUUAAGUUGCAGGGUAUAGACCCGAAACCCGGUGAUCUAGCCAUGGGCAGGUUGAAGGUUGGGUAACACUAACUGGAGGACCGAACCGACUAAUGUUGAAAAAUUAGCGGAUGACCUGUGGCUGGGGGUGAAAGGCCAAUCAAACCGGGAGAUAGCUGGUUCUCCCCGAAAGCUAUUUAGGUAGCGCCUCGUGAAUUCAUCUCCGGGGGUAGAGCACUGUUUCGGCUAGGGGGCCAUCCCGGCUUACCAACCCGAUGCAAACUGCGAAUACCGGAGAAUGUUAUCACGGGAGACACACGGCGGGUGCUAACGUCCGUCGUGAAGAGGGAAACAACCCAGACCGCCAGCUAAGGUCCCAAAGUCAUGGUUAAGUGGGAAACGAUGUGGGAAGGCCCAGACAGGCAGGAUGUUGGCUUAGAAGCAGCCAGCAUUUAAAGAAAGCGUAAUAGCUCACUGGUCGAGUCGGCCUGCGCGGAAGAUGUAACGGGGCUAAACCAUGCACCGAAGCUGCGGCAGCGACGCUUAUGCGUUGUUGGGUAGGGGAGCGUUCUGUAAGCCUGUGAAGGUGGCCUGUGAGGGUUGCUGGAGGUAUCAGAAGUGCGAAUGCUGACAUAAGUAACGAUAAAGCGGGUGAAAAGCCCGCUCGCCGGAAGACCAAGGGUUCCUGUCCAACGUUAAUCGGGGCAGGGUGAGUCGACCCCUAAGGCGAGGCCGAAAGGCGUAGUCGAUGGGAAACGGGUUAAUAUUCCCGUACUUGGUGUUACUGCGAAGGGGGGACGGAGAAGGCUAUGUUGGCCGGGCGACGGUUGUCCCGGUUUAAGCGUGUAGGUGUGUGUUCCAGGUAAAUCCGGUUCACUUUAACACUGAGGCGUGACGACGAGGCACUACGGUGCUGAAGCAACAAAUGCCCUGCUUCCAGGAAAAGCCUCUAAGCAUCAGGUAACAUCAAAUCGUACCCCAAACCGACACAGGUGGUCAGGUAGAGAAUACCAAGGCGCUUGAGAGAACUCGGGUGAAGGAACUAGGCAAAAUGGUGCCGUAACUUCGGGAGAAGGCACGCUGACACGUAGGUGAAGUGAUUUACUCAUGGAGCUGAAGUCAGUCGAAGAUACCAGCUGGCUGCAACUGUUUAUUAAAAACACAGCACUGUGCAAACACGAAAGUGGACGUAUACGGUGUGACGCCUGCCCGGUGCCGGAAGGUUAAUUGAUGGGGUCAGCGCAAGCGAAGCUCCUGAUCGAAGCCCCGGUAAACGGCGGCCGUAACUAUAACGGUCCUAAGGUAGCGAAAUUCCUUGUCGGGUAAGUUCCGACCUGCACGAAUGGCGUAAUGAUGGCCAGGCUGUCUCCACCCGAGACUCAGUGAAAUUGAACUCGCUGUGAAGAUGCAGUGUACCCGCGGCAAGACGGAAAGACCCCGUGAACCUUUACUAUAGCUUGACACUGAACAUUGAGCCUUGAUGUGUAGGAUAGGUGGGAGGCUGUGUAGCGUGGACGCCAUUCUGCGUGGAGCCGAGCUGGAAAUACCACCCUCAAAUCUUGGAUGUUCUAACGUGGACCCGUAUUCCGGGUUGCGGACAGUGUAUGGGGGGUAGUUUGACGGAUGCGGUCUCCGCCUAACGAGUAACGGAGGAGCACAAGGGUUGGCUUAUCCUUGCCGGCCAUCAGGAGGUUAGUGCAUUGGCUUAAGCCAGCUGGACUGCGAGCGUGACGGCGCGAGCAGGUGCGAAAGCAGGUCAUAGUGAUCCGGUGGUUCUGAAUGGAAGGGCCAUCGCUCAACGGAUAAAAGGUACGCCGGUGAUAACAGGCUGAUACCGCCCAAGAGUUCAUAUCGACGGCGGUGUUUGCCACCUCGAUGUCGGCUCAGCACAUGCUGGGGCUGAAGUAGGUACCAAGGGUAUGGCUGUUCGCCAUUUAAAGUGGUACGCGAGCUGGGUUUAGAACGUCGUGAGACAGUUCGGUCCCUAUCUGCCGUGGGCGCUGGAGAACUGAGGGGGGCUGCUCCUAGUACGAGAGGACCGGAGUGGACGCAUCACUGGUGUUCGGGUUGUCAUGCCAAUGGCACUGCCCGGUAGCUAAAUGCGGAAGAGAUAAGUGCUGAAAGCAUCUAAGCACGAAACUUGCCCCGAGAUGAGUUCUCCCUGAGACUUAGAGUCUCCUGAAGGAACGUUGAAGACGACGACGUUGAUAGGCCGGGUGUGUAAGCGCAGCGAUGCGUUGAGCUAACCGGUACUAAUGAACCGUGAGGCUUAACCUUACAACGCCGAAG